UAUCCCGGAGGGAAAGGGAAAGGUUUCAUGAACAGCAGCAUCAUGCUUCAGAUUUGUUUGAUUUGGCUGGCCUCGGGUUUCUUUGAGGAAUCCAGGGGGCAGAUUGUCAUCACUCAGACACCAGCUUCCAUACAGGCAAGUCCUGGGGACAGAGUCACCAUCCUGUGCAGGGCUUCCUCUUCUGUCAGCAGCAAUAUGGACUUCUAUCAGUUUAAACCAGGGCAGAAACCCAAGGUGCUGAUUUAUUCAGGUUCAAGCCGUUUCCAAGAGACUCCAGAUCGUUUCAGUGGCAGCCACAGCAACACUGACUUCUCCUUCACUAUCAACGGGGUCCAUGCUGAGGACGAAGCAGAAUACCACUGUUUACAACGCCAAAAGUUCCCUCUCCACAGUGAUACAAUUCAGAUUGCCUAA